AGAGGCAGAAAAUAGACAGGUAGAAAUAAACACCAUAUUAUAAAACCAAUUGACAAAAACCUUAAAUGAUAUCAACAAAGCCGACGAAAUAGACACUGAACAUUUGUUUGAAACAAUGCUAGCAAAAAAUAUAAUAAUCAUUACUAGUUAAGAAAAUAUAGUAACUUCACUCACCUUUGAUAUAAAAGAAAUUAAAAAUGAACAACUCACGAAUGCCAGCGUAGCUGACAUUUCAGAAGUAGCCAAAGUUAAAGUUUUCCAAAACAAUAAUAUGAUAUAUUUUUUAAUUAAAUUUCCAAACCCUAAGUUAGUCAGUAAAAAGAUCAAAAUUUAUCCUGUUCAACAUAAAAAUACAAUAGUAAACUUAGAACACAACAAUAUAGUCGCAGAUUGCGGCUCAAAGACCAUUGCAAUAAACCAAUGCGAAGCCACGAUCCAACACCCGAUCCAGCCACCUAGAUACAAUAACCCAGGUCGACGAAGGUAUCAUCAUCAUUAAUGACGCUUCCAUAAGAGUCACUGAUCAAAAAGGCCUCAACCGAACAAUCACGGGGUCUUACCAAUGUUCCUAAAUGGGACAUUAUUCAUCAACCAGUACAAGUCUUUGAAACAGAAACCAGCACCAUCCGUCGUGACUCAAGUCAACGUCACGAGCUACAAAAAUCACCUGCUCUACCUCCAUGAGCUGAGCUUGAAGGUAGCCUAAAAGCCAACAUUGUUUACAUCGCCUGUCGCUGGCUCGAACGACAACGCCUAAUCGAACCAGAGACAGCUCUGCCAAGACCCGAUGACGGCCCUCACUUAACUAAGGGAGGAGUUAUGAUAAGUAAGGUCAAUGAUACUGAACUGAAUGCUAAGUCAGUAUCCGGUCGGAAUUUAUUGCGAUAAAUCAGCGGAAUUUGCGGUUACUGUGAACGGACACCCACAGGCGCAGCGUUAGCAUUCUGGACGUGGUGGUGUGAGAAGUCACGAGGCGCAACGUUGACAGAAAUAGCAGCAGAAGUGCCGCUAUAAAUAUUUGAAUAUGAAAUUGUACUUUAGUUUUAGACAGAGCUCAAAAGGGAUCAGUCGAAUUCUGAUGCACUUAAUAAAGAAGAAUAAUUAUUAUUUGAAAAACCUUAAUAAUUGUUUAAUUUACAUAAAUACAACUUCUGGUGCGUUCACAUUGUAUGUAUGCACAUUUACACAUUUAUGUAUGAGCAUAGACGUUUUUCAUUUAAGCAGUCUGGCCGCUUGCAUCUUAUGCGAGCAGCGCAGCCGUGACUGAUUAAAUAUUCAAACAUUUAACUUUUAUCUUCGAAAUAAUAAAGAAUAAAUAAAACUCAAAAGCAGAAGCGAUUUUAAUUAAGUACCAUUUUUAAGAAUUUAAUCCAUUAAUUAUUCCAAGUAAUUGAUUUAAUUUAUUAACAACAAUAAAUACUACUCACAGAAUCGAUCAAUUUAGGUUAAUCGGACGGACAUGUGGACCCAAGUUCCACAAAAGAAACUAUCCCUAACUCCGUAGGACAACAAGACGCUCCAGAUUUUGGAAUUUAAUAUGUAUUUUUUAUUCUUAAAUUUAAAUCCUACGCAUAGAAAUAAUAAAUAACUAAUAAGAAGUAAUGUUUCAUCGAUGAAAUGAGAUGAAAAAACUGACAUGAAAAUUGCCAAAAAGGCAAUACUCUUACACAAUCGAAA